rnacentral:rRNA from 1 species
GACGAACGCUGGCGGCGUGCUUAACACAUGCAAGUCGAACGGAAAGGCCCUGCUUGCAGGGUACUCGAGUGGCGAACGGGUGAGUAACACGUGGGUGAUCUGCCCUGCACUUCGGGAUAAGCCUGGGAAACUGGGUCUAAUACCGGAUAGGAGCCAUUUUUAGUGUGAUGGUUGGAAAGUUUUUUUCGGUGUAGGAUGAGCUCGCGGCCUAUCAGCUUGUUGGUGGGGUAAUGGCCUACCAAGGCGGCGACGGGUAGCCGGCCUGAGAGGGUGGACGGCCACAUUGGGACUGAGAUACGGCCCAGACUCCUACGGGAGGCAGCAGUGGGGAAGAUUGCACAAUGGGCGCAAGCCUGAUGCAGCGACGCCGCGUGGGGGAUGACGGCCUUCGGGUUGUAAACUCCUUUCGCUAGGGACGAAGCUUUUUGUGACGGUACCUAGAUAAGAAGCACCGGCUAACUACGUG